ACUCUGUGUGUGUCUGGUGGGGUGGGGGUAGAGCGCUAGUUUAUAUCAUGAAGCAACUGUGAGAGCUGACUAACCACACUCAGUAAACCUUUUCCCUUCCGUGUUCCAUACUUUCUCAUCCUACUCUCGGGAGCAACCGAAGAGGAAGGUUGGGCGAAGCAACCUGUCCCACUGAGCUGCCCAUCACUGGCGACUUGCUAACCACACACGCGAUAAUAGGUCUGCUGAUUAUCUUGAUGCAGAGAAAAAGGAAGAAGCCAUUGCACUGACUUGAUCAAACAAGAUCUCAAACAUCAUUUCACUGCUGGAGACAGGAUGGCUUACAUUUGGAAACAAAAUCUGCUUCGUGACCUUUAAAACCACAAAGAGACUAAAACAGAGGUCAGACUGAGGCUCCAGCUACAAAACAGCAUGCCUGGAGCAGUUACAGUGUCUUGCUCAAGGACACCUCAGUAUCUCACAUGCUGGCUAUUAUAGGGGCUUGAAACUAUUGCAGGGGUGUUCUCCUAACUUGCUAUUAUGCAAAUUUGCUGAGAGACAAUGUCAUGGUCACUAGAGUAACAUCAUCAGCGCUUGCUGUAAAUAAAAAUGCAAAUAAAUCUUAUGUGUAUGCAAUUGGGUAAUCGGACUUUUAGUGAUGCAAGAAUGGAGGGCAUAAUAAAGGGUCAAUCAGCAGCAUAAUAACACUUCAUCUACCAUGAUUUAAGCCCCCUUCUCGUUGAUUGGAGCGCACCUUUUAACAAGUACGGGAUUUAAAGUUUUACACCAAAGAGUUUCAAAGUAAUUUCUGGUUGUUAGUAUGUGAUUAAUGUUAUGUUACAUUCACAGGCACAGUUAGAGAGCCUGGAACUUCAGAUAACAGCUUAACAACAGCACUCGCACAAUACUGUAUAAAUCCAUCGGCACAGGGUGUAAUUAUAAAAUACGUGUUUCUGAUUGUUUGUCUCACCUCUUUGGGGUGGAAGUCACCUUUAUUAAACAAAAUAAAAAGGCUCUGUUUUUUUCUAUUUACUUAAAAAAAUUGGGUGGAUAUAUAGAAUAACAUCAGUGCUGUUUGCCCUACAGUUUUGUUGA